rnacentral:tRNA from 1 species
UUGACUGAAGCCAAAAAAGAGGCUUAUCACUGUUAAUGAUAGAACUGAAUUACUUCCCGUCAAA